AAACCAUGGUAUGGACACUUUAGUAAUAAAUCUUUAAAUCUUUCCCAACAUUCAUAAAAUUCUUUGUGAUCUUUCUGAAAAAAUUCAGAGAUUUCUCUCCUAAUAUU